CAUUACCUCAUUCUCCGUGAACUCCUCAGGUGAUUUAAACCUCAAACACGCUUCAGCUGAGAACAGCGGGAUGGACCGAGACCUACAGCGCUACCGACCGAACCAGAACCGAACCGGAACCGAACCGGAACGAUGGAGAGAAAACCGAGAAAAUCAAAGUUAAAGAAAUAAAGAGAGAAUAAUGAGUGAAGCUCCUACCUUCCGCCUCCUCACUCACACACAGCCGCCAUGUUGUGGGGAACGACUUGUGACCUGCAUCACUCUGCUGACCACCAGUUCCUGAGGAACGUUAACGACCGUGUUAGCGCCUGGAGACUAGUAGGUGGAUUGGACAUUUUUACCAGUUGUACGUGCUGUGUGAAUUUUGAUCAGACUUUGGAGAAGAACGUGACAUUAGUGUGUAAAAUCUGGACCGAACUUUGCUUUCUACUCAACAUUCCAGACGCUUUAUGUAAGUAAACGCUACCAGUAAAACCAUGAGGCUCCAUUUAGAUAAAUGAUAUUAAGCAGACGUGUUUAUCCAAUAAACUUACAAGUGUGAGCAUUUAGGUGAAGCACCUUGUUCAAGGGCCCAACAGUAAAAACUUGGUAAUGGUGGGGCUUAAACCAAUGUCCUUCUGAUCACUAGUCCACUGCAUUGUCCACGGUUCCAACCAUCGUCCCACAGCACAGAUCUGAUGUGAGGAAUCAGAGUGGUGAUGUUACCCACUCAUUUAGAGCUCAGGGGUCCAGAUCAUGAAAUAAUGCAGCAGGUGAAGGAAACAGGAGACAGUGACCACGCCCGGACACAC